rnacentral:rRNA from 1 species
GAUGAACGCUGGCGGCGUGCCUAAUACAUGCAAGUCGAGCGAACAGACGAGGAGCUUACUCCUCUGACGUUAGCGGCGGACGGGUGAGUAACACGUGGAUAACCUACCUAUAAGACUGGGAUAACUUCGGGAAACCGGAGCUAAUACCGGAUAACAUGUUGAACCGCAUGGUUCAACAGUGAAAGACGGUCUUGCUGUCACUUAUAGAUGGAUCCGCGUCGCAUUAGCUAGUUGGUAAGGUAACGGCUUACCAAGGCAACGAUGCGUAGCCGACCUGAGAGGGUGAUCGGCCACACUGGAACUGAGACACGGUCCAGACUCCUACGGGAGGCAGCAGUAGGGAAUCUUCCGCAAUGGGCGAAAGCCUGACGGAGCAACGCCGCGUGAGUGAAGAAGGUCUUCGGAUCGUAAAACUCUGUUAUUAGGGAAGAACAAAUGUGUAAGUAACGAUGCACGUCUUGACGGUACCUAAGCAGAAAGCCACGGCUAACUACGU